ACGGAAGGCAGCAGUGGGGGAUAUUGCACAAUGGGGGAAACCCUGAUGCAGCGACGCCGCGUGAGUGAAGAAGUAUUUCGGUAUGUAAAGCUCUAUCAGCAGGAAAGAUAAUGACGGUACCUGACUAAGAAGCACCGGCUAAAUACGUGCCAGCAGCCGCGGUAAUACGUAUGGUGCAAGCGUUAUCCGGAUUUACUGGGUGUAAAGGGAGCGCAGGCGGCCAUGCAAGUCAGAAGUGAAAGCCCGGGGCUCAACCCCGGGACUGCUUUUGAAACUGUAAGGCUAGAUUGCCGGAGAGGUAAGCGGAAUUCCUAGUGUAGCGGUGAAAUGCGUAGAUAUUAGGAGGAACACCAGUGGCGAAGGCGGCUUACUGGACGGUAAAUGACGCUCAGGCUCGAAAGCGUGGGGAGCAAACAGGAUUAGAUACCCUGGUA
rnacentral:rRNA from 1 species